rnacentral:rRNA from 1 species
UACGUAGGGGGCUAGCGUUGUCCGGAUUUAUUGGGCGUAAAGAGCGUGUAGGCGGCCAGGUAGGUCUGCUGUGAAAACUCGAGGCUCAACCUCGAGACGUCGGCGGAAACCAUCUGGCUAGAGUCCGGAAGAGGAGAGUGGAAUUCCUGGUGUAGCGGUGAAAUGCGCAGAUAUCUGGAGGAAUACCGGUGGCGAAGGCGGCAUCCUGGACCGGCAUUGACGCUGAGGAGCGAAAGCCAGGGGAGCAAACGGG